GGCGGGGCGGCCCGGCCGGGCUGAGCGCUGGGAGCGGAUCCGGGAUGCAGCGGGCUGAGGCCCGGCCACGUCAGCACCCCGAGGGGGCUGCACCGGGAGGCGGAGGCGCCGGGCCCGGGGCAGCUGCCGCCGCCGGAGCCAUGGACCCCGCGGGGCAGCUGUUUCAGGAGCCCUCGCUCUACACAGUCAAGGCGAUUUUCAUCUUGGACAAUGAUGGGCAGCGACUCUUGGCCAAGUACUAUGAUGACACCUUUCCAUCUAUGAAGGAACAGAAGGCCUUUGAGAAGAAUGUAUUCAACAAAACCCACAAAACUGACAGUGAGAUUGCCUUUCUGGAGGGACUAACCAUUGUCUAUAAAAGCAGCAUUGACCUCUUUUUCUAUGUGGUGGGAAGUUCUCAUGAAAAUGAGCUGAUGCUGAUGGCUGUUCUCACCUGUCUCUUUGACUCUCUCAAUCACAUGCUACGGAAGAAUGUGGAGAAGCGCUCCCUCUUGGACAACAUGGACGGGGCCUUCCUGGUGGUGGAUGAGAUUGUUGAUGGCGGGGUGAUUCUGGAGAGUGAUCCACAGCAAGUGAUCCAGAAGGUGAACUUCAGGACAAUCUCAGAGCCCGCUGCAUACGGGUGGAUGACAGCCCUCUCUCUGAGCAAAGUGUUGCCCAGGUGCUUCUGUCCACACUAAUCCUGCCUGCAUGAGCCACGGGGCUGAGUCUAUGUCUAACUCAGCACUAACCACCACCUUGUACUGGGCAGAGUUCUGCAAUCUGCCAAAGAGCAAAUUAAAUGGUCCUUAUUAAAGUGAAAGACCCAGAGGACAGCGCCUGGAUAUUUCCGAUUGGAUGGGUCUAAACUACGGCUACAAAUGAUUCCUCGGCUGAUUUGAUUAGCCAUUUUCUAAUUGGCACAAUAGGUCUGACAGAAGAUUUGGGGUAGGAUGCAAGAUGGCUGACAUCAGCGGUGCCGCCCAAGAGAACUCUAAGCUUCCAUGGACACAUCCACCCAGCUGGCUUCACCCCAGUCUCAGUGACAUGAAAUUUGCAAGCUAACAGGGGAGGAGAGUUUGGGAAAAUUAACCCAUAAAUGGGCCAGAUUCUGCUCCUGUACCGGCGCAAAUCUGGAGUGACUUCAGUGCAGAAGUUUCAGAUUUGCUUUGGUAUGACUGAGAGUAAAAUCUGGCAUGAGAAUCUUAAGGAACUAUAUAAUUGCUGGGUAUUGCAGCCAGUAAUUAUUUAAGGAAUGAAUAAGAUGAUUGAUUACUGGUAUUUUCAACACCUGAAGGCUUUCUUGGAAGAGUCAGGUAGCAGCUGAAGUAGAGUAGACUGGUUUUGAAUCUUCCCUGCUGUCAGUAUUGUGGACUAAAGAACUGUCCCCUUUCUUUUCCGCACCAAUAACUCCCAUUCAUGGUACAGACCAAAGCCUGUGAGCAUUCAUUGAGAGGCUGGGCCCCUUAAACAUAGGCCGAGACUUCCAAAACUGUGUAAGGGAUUUGCUUGCCCAUUUCUCACUAAAAUGAAUGGGACAUGGGCUCCUUAGAAUUAUACUGGCUGCUUCCAAAAUAAGCCAAGAGCCAGAGCUUUGACUAUAGUAGGUGACAUUCACCCUAUGUGGAGGUCAGCAUCCAUCCCACUCAAAUGCCUUGAAAGGAACAAAAUAGGGAUGAAUGGGCAUGGAUGACUGUUUUCCCAUUAGGCUGAUAUUUGGAAUAUCAAAGCAUAUCAAUCAUACAAUGGAAAAUAAUGCAGCCCAGGCUGCAAUUAAUUAUGUAAACUCAAGCUUGCUAACCCUGGUUGUCGGCCCAUAUAUUAUUAAAGGACCUUGCUGUGUUAAGAAUCCUUUCCUCAAAACAAAUCACUACCUUUCCUUUGUCAGCGCCCCAGAUUCUAAAUAUCGAAAAAAAAAAUUAAAUUCUAAUGAAGGAGAUCUGAUUGGUUUUGAGUUGUUUCUCUCUUGUUUUGCCUUGCUUCCCAGCUUCUUCUCCAGGCUGCAAAGUUGGGGUUGGCCACACCACAUCAGAGGCCUGGAUUUAGAAAUGAACCCAUUUUCACAUUGCAAAUUAUUUUAAAAGGGGCCUUAUAAAUAUUUCUAUAUUUUGUAACUGUUUUUUCUUUUAAAAUCUGGGAUCUCCUUUAUUUUCUAUCAUCCUUUUAUCUAGUCAGUUGUGUGUUACUUAAUUUAUCAAGAGUUUGGUAUGUUUCAGUUGCUUUCUGUAAGCUGUGCAUGUCCAGCUUCUUUUAUGGUCAACAAAUAAAAUUUUAUAUCCCAAG